rnacentral:rRNA from 1 species
GAUGAACGCUGGCGGCGUGCCUAAUACAUGCAAGUCGAGCGAACAGACGAGGAGCUUGCUCCUUUGACGUUAGCGGCGGACGGGUGAGUAACACGUAGGUAACCUACCUAUAAGACUGGGAUAACUUCGGGAAACCGGAGCUAAUACCGGAUAAUAUUUCGAACCGCAUGGUUCGAUAGUGAAAGAUGGCUUUGCUAUCACGUAUAGAUGGACCUGCGCCGUAUUAGCUAGUUGGUAAGGUAACGGCUUACCAAGGCAACGAUACGUAGCCGACCUGAGAGGGUGAUCGGCCACACUGGAACUGAGACACGGUCCAGACUCCUACGGGAGGCAGCAGUAGGGAAUCUUCCGCAAUGGGCGAAAGCCUGACGGAGCAACGCCGCGUGAGUGAUGAAGGUCUUCGGAUCGUAAAACUCUGUUAUUAGGGAAGAACAAACGUGUAAGUAACUGUGCACGUCUUGACGGUACCUAAUCAGAAAGCCACGGCUAACUACGUG